GACGAACGCUGGCGGCGCGCUUAACACAUGCAGGUCGAACGGAAAGGCCUGCUUUCCCUUGUGGAUUGCGGGUACUCGAGUGGCGAACGGGUGAGUAACACGUGAGUGAUCUGCCCCCAACUUGGGUAUAAGCCUGGGAAACUGGGUCUAAUUCCCGAUAGGACUGCAGGGUGGUGCCUGUGGUGGAAAACGAUUUUCUAGUGGUUGGGGAUGAGCUCGCGGCCUAUCAGCUUGUUGGUGGGGUAAUGGCCUACCAAGGCGGCGACGGGUAGCCGGCCUGGGAGGGUGGACGGCCACAUUGGGACUGAGAUACGGCCCAGACUCCUACGGGAGGCAGCAGUGGGGAAUAUUGCACAAUGGGCGGAAGCUUGAUGCAGCGACGCCGCGUGGGGGAUGACGGCCUUCGGGUUGUAAACUCCUUUCGACCGCGAGGAAGCCACCUGGUUGGAAGGGUGGUGACGGUAGUGGUAGAAGAAGCACCGGCUAACUACGUG
rnacentral:rRNA from 1 species